GGACCCGCACAAGCAGUGGAGCAUGUGGUUUAAUUCGAUGCUACGCGAAAAAACCUUACCAGCUCUUGCAUCCUAGUCGCGAUUUUCAGAGAUGAAUUUCUUCAGUUCGGCUGGACUAGUGACAGGUGUUGCAUGGCUGUCGUCAGCUCGUGUCGUGAGAUGUUAGUUAAGUCCUUCAACGAGCGCAACCCUCAUCCUUAUUUGCCAUCAGGUUAAGCUGGGAACUAUAAGGAAACUGCCAACGACAAGUUGGAGGAAGGUGGGGACGAUGUCAAGUCAUCAUGGCCCUUAUGGGCUGGGCUACACACAUGCUACAAUGGUGGUCACAACGGGCUAGCGAAAGAGUAAUCUGGAGCC
rnacentral:rRNA from 1 species